rnacentral:rRNA from 1 species
GGCAAAAUGAGAGUCCAACUGUCUCUUACAGCAAAUCAAUUAAACUGAUCUCCCAGUACAAAAGCUGGAAUCCCAACAUAAGACCAGAAGACCCUGUGAAGCUUUAACUAACCUAUUAAACCCAAUAAUAGCCAGUUUCGGUUGGGGCGACCUUGGAAUAAAAAAGAACUUCCAAAUACAUGACUAACCAUGUCUCUAGGCAGACAAGCCAUAAUUGACCCCGUAUACCUGAUAGACGGACCAAGUUACUCCAGGGAUAACAGCGCUAUCUUCUUCAAGAGCCCAUAUCAAAAAGAAGGUUUACGACCUCGAUGUUGGAUCAGGACAUCCUAGUAAUGCAACCGCUACUAAGGGUUCGUUUGUUCAACGAUUAAUAGUGCUACGUGA